rnacentral:rRNA from 1 species
CGCACGGGUGAGUAACGCGUAAGUAAUCUACCCUGGUAUCUGGGAUAACCCACCGAAAGGUGUGCUAAUACCGGAUACGCUGAUUUAUCAGGAAAGGUGGCCUCUUCAUGAAAGCUACUGUACUAGGAGGAGCUUGCGUACCAUUAGCUAGUUGGUAGGGUAAUGGCCUACCAAGGCAACGAUGGUUAGCGGGUCUGAGAGGAUGAUCCGCCACACUGGAACUGGAACACGGACCAG